rnacentral:rRNA from 1 species
GGGGAUUAGUGGCGAACGGGUGAGUAACACGUGAGUAACCUGCCCUGGACUCUGGGAUAACCCCGAGAAAUCGGAGCUAAUACCGGAUAGGACCUUUCCUCGCAUGAGGUUUGGUGGAAAGUUUUUCGGUCUGGGAUGGACUCGCGGCCUAUCAGCUUGUUGGUGAGGUAAUGGCUCACCAAGGCGUCGACGGGUAGCCGGCCUGAGAGGGUGACCGGCCACACUGGGACUGAGACACGGCCCAGACUCCUACGGGAGGCAGCAGUGGGGAAUAUUGCACAAUGGGCGCAAGCCUGAUGCAGCAACGCCGCGUGCGGGAUGACGGCCUUCGGGUUGUAAACCGCUUUUAGUAGGGAAGAAGGGCUUCGGCUUGACGGUACCUGCAGAAAAAGGACCGGCUAACUACGUGCCAGCAGCCGCGGUAAUACGUAGGGUCCGAGCGUUGUCCGGAAUUAUUGGGCGUAAAGAGCUCGUAGGCGGUUUGUCGCGUCUGCUGUGAAAACUAGAGGCUCAACCUCUAGCCUGCAGUGGGUACGGGCAGACUUGAGUGGUGUAGGGGAGACUGGAAUUCCUGGUGUAGCGGUGGAAUGCGCAGAUAUCAGGAGGAACACCGAUGGCGAAGGCAGGUCUCUGGGCACUUACUGACGCUGAGGAGCGAAAGCGUGGGGAGCGAACAGGAUUAGAUACCCUGGUAGUCCACGCCGUAAACGUUGGGCGCUAGAUGUGGGGACCUUUCCACGGUUUCCGUGUCGUAGCUAACGCAUUAAGCGCCCCGCCUGGGGAGUACGGCCGCAAGGCUAAA